rnacentral:rRNA from 1 species
GACGAACGCUGGCGGCGUGCUUAACACAUGCAAGUCGAACGAAGAGCGAUGGAAGCUUGCUUCUAUCAAUCUUAGUGGCGAACGGGUGAGUAACGCGUAAUCAACCUGCCCUUCAGAGGGGGACAACAGUUGGAAACGACUGCUAAUACCGCAUACGAUCUAAUCUCGGCAUCGAGGAUAGAUGAAAGGUGGCCUCUACAUGUAAGCUAUCACUGAGGGAGGGGAUUGCGUCUGAUUAGCUAGUUGGAGGGGUAACGGCCCACCAAGGCGAUGAUCAGUAGCCGGUCUGAGAGGAUGAACGGCCACAUUGGGACUGAGACACGGCCCAGACUCCUACGGGAGGCAGCAGUGGGGAAUCUUCCGCAAUGGACGGAAGUCUGACGGAGCAACGCCGCGUGAGUGAUGACGGCCUUCGGGUUGUAAAGCUCUGUUAAUCGGGACGAAAGGCCUUCUUGCGAAUAGUGAGAAGG